UGGGGAAUCUUCCGCAAUGGGCGAAAGCCUGACGGAGCAACGCCGCGUGAGUGAUGACGGCCUUCGGGUUGUAAAGCUCUGUGAUCGGGGACGAACGGUCAGCAGACGAAUACUCUGCUGAAGUGACGGUACCCGAAUAGCAAGCCACGGCUAACUACGUGCCAGCAGCCGCGGUAAUACGUAGGUGGCAAGCGUUGUCCGGAAUUAUUGGGCGUAAAGCGCGCGCAGGCGGCUUCUUAAGUCCAUCUUAAAAGUGCGGGGCUUAACCCCGUGAUGGGAUGGAAACUGAGAGGCUGGAGUAUCGGAGAGGAAAGUGGAAUUCCUAGUGUAGCGGUGAAAUGCGUAGAGAUUAGGAAGAACACCGGUGGCGAAGGCGACUUUCUGGACGACAACUGACGCUGAGGCGCGAAAGCGUGGGGAGCAAACA
rnacentral:rRNA from 1 species